UGACUGCGUACCUUUUGUAUAAUGGGUCAGCGACUUAUAUUCUGUAGCAAGGUUAACCGUAUAGGGGAGCCGGAGGGAAACCGAGUCUUAAUUGGGCGUUAAGUUGCAGGGUAUAGACCCGAAACCCGGUGAUCUAGCCAUGGGCAGGUUGAAGGUUGGGUAACACUAACUGGAGGACCGAACCGACUAAUGUUGAAAAAUUAGCGGAUGACCUGUGGCUGGGGGUGAAAGGCCAAUCAAACCGGGAGAUAGCUGGUUCUCCCCGAAAGCUAUUUAGGUAGCGCCUCGUGAAUUCAUCUCCGGGGGUAGAGCACUGUUUCGGCUAGGGGGCCAUCCCGGCUUACCAACCCGAUGCAAACUGCGAAUACCGGAGAAUGUUAUCACGGGAGACACACGGCGGGUGCUAACGUCCGUCGUGAAGAGGGAAACAACCCAGACCGCCAGCUAAGGUCCCAAAGUCAUGGUUAAGUGGGAAACGAUGUGGGAAGGCCCAGACAGCCAGGAUGUUGGCUUAGAAGCAGCCAUCAUUUAAAGAAAGCGUAAUAGCUCACUGGUCGAGUCGGCCUGCGCGGAAGAUGUAACGGGGCUAAACCAUGCACCGAAGCUGCGGCAGCGACGCUGAUGCGUUGUUGGGUAGGGGAGCGUUCUGUAAGCCUGCGAAGGUGGCCUGUGAGGGUUGCUGGAGGUAUCAGAAGUGCGAAUGCUGACAUAAGUAACGAUAAAGCGGGUGAAAAGCCCGCUCGCCGGAAGACCAAGGGUUCCUGUCCAACGUUAAUCGGGGCAGGGUGAGUCGACCCCUAAGGCGAGGCCGAAAGGCGUAGUCGAUGGGAAACGGGUUAAUAUUCCCGUACUUGGUGUUACUGCGAAGGGGGGACGGAGAAGGCUAUGUUGGCCGGGCGACGGUUGUCCCGGUUUAAGCGUGUAGGUGUGUGUUCCAGGUAAAUCCGGUUCACUUUAACACUGAGGCGUGAUGACGAGGCACUACGGUGCUGAAGCAACAAAUGCCCUGCUUCCAGGAAAAGCCUCUAAGCAUCAGGUAACAUCAAAUCGUACCCCAAACCGACACAGGUGGUCAGGUAGAGAAUACCAAGGCGCUUGAGAGAACUCGGGUGAAGGAACUAGGCAAAAUGGUGCCGUAACUUCGGGAGAAGGCACGCUGACACGUAGGUGAAGUGAUUUACUCACGGAGCUGAAGUCAGUCGAAGAUACCAGCUGGCUGCAACUGUUUAUUAAAAACACAGCACUGUGCAAACACGAAAGUGGACGUAUACGGUGUGACGCCUGCCCGGUGCCGGAAGGUUAAUUGAUGGGGUCAGCGCAAGCGAAGCUCCUGAUCGAAGCCCCGGUAAACGGCGGCCGUAACUAUAACGGUCCUAAGGUAGCGAAAUUCCUUGUCGGGUAAGUUCCGACCUGCACGAAUGGCGUAAUGAUGGCCAGGCUGUCUCCACCCGAGACUCAGUGAAAUUGAACUCGCUGUGAAGAUGCAGUGUACCCGCGGCAAGACGGAAAGACCCCGUGAACCUUUACUAUAGCUUGACACUGAACAUUGAGCCUUGAUGUGUAGGAUAGGUGGGAGGCUUUGAAGUGUGGACGCCAGUCUGCAUGGAGCCGACCUUGAAAUACCACCCUUUAAUGUUUGAUGUUCUAACGUGGACCCGUUACCCGGGUUGCGGACAGUGUCUGGUGGGUAGUUUGACUGGGGCGGUCUCCUCCUAAAGAGUAACGGAGGAGCACGAAGGUUGGCUAAUCCUGGUCGGACAUCAGGAGGUUAGUGCAAUGGCAUAAGCCAGCUUGACUGCGAGCGUGACGGCGCGAGCAGGUGCGAAAGCAGGUCAUAGUGAUCCGGUGGUUCUGAAUGGAAGGGCCAUCGCUCAACGGAUAAAAGGUACUCCGGGGAUAACAGGCUGAUACCGCCCAAGAGUUCAUAUCGACGGCGGUGUUUGGCACCUCGAUGUCGGCUCAUCACAUCCUGGGGCUGAAGUAGGUCCCAAGGGUAUGGCUGUUCGCCAUUUAAAGUGGUACGCGAGCUGGGUUUAGAACGUCGUGAGACAGUUCGGUCCCUAUCUGCCGUGGGCGCUGGAGAACUGAGGGGGGCUGCUCCUAGUACGAGAGGACCGGAGUGGACGCAUCACUGGUGUUCGGGUUGUCAUGCCAAUGGCACUGCCCGGUAGCUAAAUGCGGAAGAGAUAAGUGCUGAAAGCAUCUAAGCACGAAACUUGCCCCGAGAUGAGUUCU
rnacentral:rRNA from 1 species